CUCCUACGGGAGGCAGCAGUGGGGAAUAUUGCACAAUGGGGGAAACCCUGAUGCAGCGACGCCGCGUGGAGGAAGAAGGUCUUCGGAUUGUAAACUUCUGUUGAUGUGGAAGAUAAUGACGGUACUCAACAAGGAAGUGACGGCUAACUACAUGCCAGCAGCCGUGGUUAAACGUAAGUCACAAGCGUUGUCCGGAAUUACUGGGUGUAAAGGGAGCGCAGGGGGGAGAACAAAGUUGGAAGUGAAAUCCAUGGGCUCAACCCAUGAACUGCUUUCAAAAACUGUUUUUCUUGAGUAGUGCAGAGGUAGGCGGAAUUCCCGGUGUAGCGGUGGAAUGCGUAGAUAUCGGGAGGAACACCAGUGGCGAAGGCGGCCUACUGGGCACCAACUGACGCUGAGGCUCGAAAGUGUGGGUAGCAAACAGGAUUAGAUACCCUGGUAGUCCACACCGUAAACGAUGAUUACUAGGUGUUGGAGGAUUGACCCCUUCAGUGCCGCAGUUAACACAAUAAGUAAUCCACCUGGGGAGUACGACCGCAAGGUUGAAACUCAAAGGAAUUGACGGGGGCCCGCACAAGCAGUGGAGUAUGUGGUUUAAUUCGACGCAACGCGAAGAACCUUACCAAGUCUUGACAUCCCUUGACGAACAUACAAAUAUGUUUUCUCUUCGGAGCAAGGAGACAGGUGGUGCAUGGUUGUCGUCAGCUCGUGUCGUGAGAUGUUAGGUUCAGUCCCGCAACGAGCCCAACCCUUAUGGUCAGUUACUACGCAAGAGGACUCUGGCCAGACUGCCGUUGUCAAAACGGAGGAAGGUGGGGAUGACGUCAAAUCAUCAUGCCCCUUAUGACUUGGGCUACACACGUACUACAAUGGCGUUAAACAAAGAGAAGCAAGCCCGCGAGGUGGAGCAAAUCUCAAAAACAUCGUCCCAGUUCGGACUGCAGGCUGCAACUCGCCUGCACGAAGUCGGAAUUGUUAGUAAUCGUGGAUCAGCAUGCCACGGUGAAUACGUUCCCGGGCCUUGUACACACCGC
rnacentral:rRNA from 1 species